rnacentral:rRNA from 1 species
GACGAACGCUGGCGGCGUGCCUAAUACAUGCAAGUCGAACGAAGUGGGGACGGGUGAGUAACACGUGGGUAACCUCCCAUCAGAGGGGAUACCACUUGGAAACAGGUGCUAAACCGAUACUGAUGGAUGGACCCGCGGUGGAUUAGCUAGUUGGUGAGGGAACGGUGAACCAAGGCCACGAUGCAUAACUGCCCUGAGAGGGGGAUCUGCCACACUGGGACUGAGACACGGCCCAGAUUCCUACGGGAGGCAGCAGUAGGGAAUAUUCGGCAAUGGACGAAAGCCUGACCGAGCAACGCCGCGUGAGUGAAGAAGGUUUUCGGAUUGUAAAACUCUGUUGUUUGAGAAGCGGUAUCUAACCAGAAAGCCACGGCGAACUACGUGCCAGCAGCCGCGGUAAUAC